UAUUCGUGUUGAUUUUUACACAAAGUUCGGGUGUAAACAAUUUUAACCCUUUUAUUUUUAUUUUGCUGCAACCCGAAACACCCUCACUUCGUGGUUCAGUCGUCGUACGACGAUCGGAUUUCCUUAUCGGUCUCUGAUGAUUGAAAAAUCUCUUCGAAUUCAACUUCUUAUAUUAUCGGCAUUUGAGAAGCAUAAUGUUGAGAAGGAUGUAGCAGAACAGAUUUAGGAGGACUUCAACAAGAAGUAUGACCCUGCUUGGCAUUGCAUUGUUGGAAAAAAAUUUCGGUUCUUGUCUGACUCAUGAGACGAACCACUUUGUCUACUAUCUGGAUUUAGAAGUUGUACUCCUAUUCAAAUCUGAUUGAGCUCGGUACAUUGAUAGGGUUGCGGAUGACGAUGACGUUACAAUAUUUGAAAAUUCCCAGCUUCAAAGAUCUAGUGGAAAUUUCACGUACAUUUACAUUUUCUCGUACCUUCUGGAUGUGGAUGACGAUGAUGUUACAAUAUUUGAAAAUUCCCAGCUACAAAGAUCUACUCGAAAAUUCACGAACCUGCACAUUUUCUCUUACCUUCUGUAAGCAUUUCUGAUUCAUUCUUUCCUUGCCUCUUGCUAAUUCGAGUGGGUGAGAAGAUAUGACUUUAAUGAGUGGUAUGAAAGACGUCCUUAUCUUAAAAAAAGAGUGGAGUGGGAUGUCUUUGUUUGUAGAAUUCUUAUAUCUUUGGUGUUUUCGUUAACCCAAUAAAUACCGAUAUAGUUUGAAUGUAGUUUACCCAGCCACAUUGUGAAAUAUGUGUUCAAUUGACAGAGUUUGAUAAUAGGUUAGGUGUUCAAAUAGUCAUUGACUUAGUUUAGGUGGUUCGAUAAAAUAUUCAAGACAAGUGUUUUGGUCUAUCUAUUUAUUUGGCCUAUUAAUGACUCCAACUUUAUAUAGUCAAACUAUCACUUCAACUGUUGAAAUUAGCUCACUUAUCGGCUCACGCUUGUUUGAAUGUUACUUCAUUUGACGCUCGGAGGCUAAUACUGAUCUAUGAACCAUCGAGUAAAUACAAGACCUAUGACACAACAAAAUGUGUGCUUAUCAAAACAAACCGCAACAACGACUCGCCUCUAUCACUUGGAGGGUAGAAAAAGAUAUAAGUUGUUAUUAUUAAAUUGUCCCUCUUUGUAAUAAAAUACAUAAAAUAUGCCUCUACUCCUUGAAAAAGAUAUAAUUUAUAUUUCUUUAAAACACAUUAAAUAAGUACGAAUAAUAGACUUCAAACUAAGUAAAUUAGACAAGAGGUAAUAAAAUUUCUAAAUUCGAACUCAAAAAGUUCAAAUCUUGAAUCCGCUUAUUACACUAGUAUAAAAAAAGGAACAGGACACAAUAGUUAAAUAAAAUGUUGUGAGGAUAAAACUAGAAGGCUGAAAAGAACAUCAGAUUAAAGCAUGAUCUCGAAUUCUUUGAAAGAGAUGAAGGUAUCAAAGUUGCAUGUUUCUGCUUUGUCUUUGUAGUUUCUUGUUCAUCCUUAAAAAUCUGCUUGCUCCUGCACUUCAUGCUACAAAAUGGCUAUCACCCCUGUGCAUUUAAGUAUAUAUCAUCUGACAAAAAAACCACUUCAUGAUAACAAUGAUUAUAAAUUUUUAACUUAAUUUGUAGGCUUAUAAUACUUUGGUCCCUCAGUUAUGAAUAAAUAUUUAUACAACAUAUUUAACCUUUAACUUAAAUUUAUCAUAACAAGAAAUACAUUAUCGAUUGUGCAAGUUAAAGUGAUGAUGAAGGGAAAGAGUAAAGAAAUUAAUUAUAGUAGCAUUCUCAGAUGUACAUGUGAUAUUUUUCUCGGGUAACAACUUCUUGCACAAUGAACAAAAUUCAAGAAAACCACUAGUAGUUUUCUUUUCGAAACAGGGUUUGAUUCGGCCAUUAACUUUGUUAACAAUUUGUAACAUGUUUCUUUUGGUUCCACCAACACUUUUUUCGUCUUCAAGUACUACACUUAGUCUUGCGUUGCCCUUGACCUUUUAUGUUUGUUUUUUGAAUACCUUCUAUGCCUGAAGGAGUGGUAUUUAUAUACAAAUAUUUCAACGUAGUUUAAUUUGCUGGAAGGGAUAGAGUUAUAAGUAUGACCUUAUCCGAAUUCAAUAGUUUUGGCUCAGAUACUAUUAAAAAUGAAAAUAAUUAAUUUUGAAUAGAGUAUAAUUAAAUGAAUUGCAGCGGUCCUAGUCAGACUAAUAAAAUUUAAAACGCGAAUUUAUCUCACUUGUCAUAGUAGUUAGAUUUUUUCUUGUUAUUAUUUUUUUACUCUAGCUUUGCCAUCUUCUUUUCCUCGUUUCAUUGCGUUGUAGUUAGGGGAAAGUUAAGUGAUAAUAAUUAUUGUGACACUGUUUUUUUAAUAACCGGGAAACUUUUAAUAAUCAGCGAAAGCAUGUUUGAAGUGUCUUUAUCUUUUUCUACUUAAAUAUCAUGCUUUUGUUUAAUACUACAACUUUUAUUGCUGAACUAAAUUUGUGACUAAAUUAUUCAUUUAAUUUCUAUUAAUGUUCCUAUUAAAUCAUCUGUAUUUAAGGCCGAAUUAACUUCAUAAGUUUUUGGCAAAAUUGAUAAACGUGUCAUUUAACUUGGCUUCAACUUGCAUUUGUGCCUUCCAACAUUGGGUGAACAUAAGUAGACGCUUAAUCUUGUAUAAAGUUGAACAAGUAGACAUAUUUUCCUCCUACAUGACCUUUUACGUGUAUUAUGCCACAGAGGACUUGUACACAUCCAAAGUUGGAGUGCAUAGGUGCCAACUGAAGGCCGAGUUCAAGGAUAUGUUUAUGCAUUAUGCCUAAGUUUUUUAUCACCUAACUUUUCCCUACUUACAAAGUAUUGUAAUUAGGAAAAGAAGACGACAAAAGAAGGGUGAAAAGAUAUGAGCAAGGAAAAAUCUGACUACAAAGGAAAUUAGAUUCCGAAAAACAAGGCGAUAAAGCCGAAGUCAAAAGAUAUAAACAACGAUAAAUUUAGCUUCAAGUGAGAUUAGAUUCGGAAUCUAAAUUUUAUGAGUUUGACUAGGAUCGCUGUAAUUUUUUUAAUUUCUACUCUAUUCAAAAUUAAUUAUUUUGCUUUUAAAAGAAUUUGAGUCAAAACUAUUGAACUCGUAUAAAAUCAUACUUAUAACUCUAUUCCUUUCCUACAAAUUAAACUACACAAAAUGUGCGUAUAUAAAUACCACUCCUUUAGGCAUAGAGGGUAUUAUGAAAAAAACACAUAAGAGGUCUGAGUAAGGCAGGAUUAAGUGUAGUACUUGAAGAAGGUGUUGGUGGUACCAAAAGAAACAUUUCACAAGUUGGUAACAAAAUUAGUAGCCCAAUCAAACCCUAUUCCAAAAUGAAAACUCUGUGGAUUUCUUGAAUAUUGAUUAUUUUGCAAGAAGAAGUUGCUACCCGUGCAAGAUAUCUACAUGUACAUGUGAGAGUUCUCUAUAAUUAUUUUCUCUACUCUUUUCCUUUAUCAUCACUUUGAAUUGCACAAUUCAUAGUGUAGUUUUUGUUAUAAAUUAAAUUAAAGGUCAAAUAUGUUGAAUCAAAAUUUAUUCAUAGCUAAGGGAUCAAAAGUUUUGUAACCCUACAAAUUAAAGUUUGUAAUGGUUAUCAUGAGUUGACUUUUUUUCCUAAUGAUAUAUACUUAAAUGGAUAGGGGUAAUAGGCCAUUCUGUAGCUUGGAAUGCAGGAGCAAGCAGAUUUGUAAGGAUGAAAAAGAAACUACAAAGGCAAAGCAAAAUCAGACAGAUUCGAUAGUUGUAUCUUCUUCGAAGAAUUCGAGAUCAUGUUUUCAUCCAAUGUUUUUUUAGCCUUCUAGUUUUAUUCGCGCAACAUUUACUUUGACUUUUGUGUUUUGGUUCUUUUAGUUUUAAUACUAGUGUUACAAGCAAAUUCAGGAUUUGAACUUUUUUUCGAAUUUGAAAAUUCUGUUACCUUUUAUCUAAUUUACUCAGUUUGAAGUCUUAUUCGUACUAGCACUUUUUCAAGAUAGCCCCGUAAAGCUUGUUUGAAUAGUUUAUCAAACCACCUAAACUAAGUCUAUGACUAUUUGAACACCUAACCUAUACUCAAACUGCAUAAUUGUACACAUUUUUCCCAGUGUAGCUGGAAAAAAUGUAUUAGUAUUUAUUGGGUUAGUGUAAAUACCCAGAUACGACAACUAUAAAUAAAAACAUCACACUCCACUCUUAUUUAUGAUAAGGACGUUUUCGUACCACUCAGUCAUAUCAUCUCUCCCCUAUUGCCAUUCAAGGUGGAUCCUAGGAUAGGUAAAACAAAAGCUAUUUUAAGUUCAAACAUUGGUGCUUGAACAUUGAUGGCUGUACAGACGGAGUUAAGAGGAUGUUGGAACAAUUUCAACUUUGCUAGUAGACCCGACUAUAUUUAGCUUGCAAAGUGAAAGCUCUGAAGAGAAAACUCAAUGAUUGGAGCAAAUUGAGCAGGGGAAUUUAGGCGUACAAAGAAAGUUCCCGUUAGGCAAGCUGACAGACACCGAAACAAUAUUGAGAGACAAAAUUCUCACUGAAGCAGAGAUGAAGAGAAAAGCAGGACUUAUGCUAAAAUACGAGGAGUUGAUUGUAAAGGAGGCGAUUGCAUGGAGACAAAAGUCCAGAGACUUAUGCUUAGAGGAGGGAGAUAGAAACACAAAGUUCUUCCAUAAAAUUGUCAAUGCCACAUAAGGUAUAAUAGCGUAGACAAGUUGUUAUUACAAGCAGAACUCAGGAUUCUACUAGAAUUGACUAGAAUUGGAGAGGAGAUAGUAGAUCUUUACCAAAAUCUAUACACUGAAAUAGCGCAAUGGGGACCAAUCAAUCACUUCCACAAUUGCCCAGUUUUAACCGUGGAAGAAAAUAAGAGUCUUCUAGCAAGAUUUGAGGAGGAGAAAGUGUUGAGAAAUAUAAAGUUGUGUACAACAAAUAAAGCUACAAGGCUUGAUGGCUUCACCAUGGGGUUUUUAAGAAAAUACUGGGAAGUGGUACAAUUAGAUAUCAUGAAUGCAUUCCAUAACGUCUCCGAGCAAGAAAUGUUCGAUAGGAGCUAUAAUGCCACUUUUAUAACUCUGAUUUCAAAGAAGAGAAGUGCUAAAGAACUAAGGGAUUUUAGACCAAUUAGUUUUAUUGGUGACAUAUACAUAAUAUUCUCUAAAGUUCUCAUUGAAAGGCUGAAAGGGUGAUGGAAAAACUGGUCCUCUAUCAAUUCUGAGAAGGGUGGGAUUUGGGCAAAAAGGGAUUCACUGGAUAAGGUAUUGCAUUUUAACAAUGAGUUUUUCAAUCCUUAUCAGUGGUAUUCCAACAAGUUCUUUUGAUCACAUAAAGGUCUCAGACAAGGUGAUCCUUUGUCAUUAUUUCUGUUUUUACUAGAAAUGGAGGGCCUUAAUAGUAUAGUUAAAUUUGCUAAUACUAAUGGAUGGGUAAGAUGUUUUCAUGUGGCUAGAGAUGGAAGAGACAACUUGGAAGUGGCUAGUCUGUAGUAUGCAGAUUUUACACUCAUUUCUUGUUAUGCUAAUGAAGAAUAGCUGAGAGUACUAAGGGUGAUUCUGGUCCUGUUCGAGAGGAUGUCUGGACGACAUAUUAAUUAGAGGAAGAGUUUCUUGUAUCCUAUCAACGAGGUUUCUAAUAUGGAUUUCCUGAAUGCAAUUUUGGGUGGUAAGUUUGGCAGUAUGCCAACUACUUACCUAGAUACUUUAGGAGAAUAGUCAAAGUCUAUGGAGAUAUGGAGUAAUGUGGUUGAGAAGUGUGAAAAUAAAUUGGCUAGGUUGAAAAGGUAGUACGUGUCACUUGGUGGAAGAUUAACUUUCAUCAACUCAGUCUUAGAUUCCUUGCCCUACUUAUAUGAUGUCAUUGUGCCCUAUCCUAGCAAGGGUCAUCAAUAGAUUAAGGGAAAGUGGUUGUAGCCACGUAUGAAAGGAAGACUGAUGGAUGACUAAAGAAGUUAUAAAUUCAGUAUGGAGGUCCAUAAGAGUCAUCUGGAAUGAGCUGAGAAUUUUUUCCGUGGUCAAAGUGAACAAUGGGGCUAAUACCUAUUUUGGAAAGAUGAUUAGCAUGAAGAAGGUAAACUAGAAAGGUUGUUUUCAGGGAUACACUCCUUAGUGAAUCACCAAACCAUAGCAGAGCUUUUGGACACCAGAAGGGUGGAGUUUCAACUUCAGAAGGCAACUCAAUUAUUGGGAAGUGUAAAGAAUGGUGAAGUUCAUAAAUCAAAUUGAACAGUUCAGUGGAUUGAGGGAAGAUAUGAAUUAUGCUGGCAAGGCAGUAAAACGGGUUGUUCAAGGUGAGCAAAAGCUUCAGAAGGUUGAACAGUACCAACAUGCAGCUUAGCAGCUGGCCAUGGAAAAAUAUUUGGAAGACCAAAAUACCGUAUAAAGUGGCAUAUUUUUAUUGCUUUUGGCAAAGGAGUCAGUGCUUACGGAGAACCUUAUGUAAAGGGGGUCAGUGCUUAUGGAGAACCUUAUGUAAAGGGGAAUAAUCUUAUGCCUUAGAUGUUUCCUAUGUGGGGAGAAAGUAGAGACAGUUAACUAGUUUUUCAUUCAUUGCAAGGUCACUGGACAGCUAUAGAUGCUGUUUUUGAACCUCAGAGGCACAUCAUGGUGAAUGCCUAGGAAGAUUACGGAGGUCUUAUCAAGUCGGGGGCAAGUGGGAGUGUAUUCUAAGAGUAGAAGUAGGUGGAGGAUAGUUCCAGCUUACAUUUGGUGUUCAAUCUAGAAGGAAAGGGAUUCCAGAUGUUUUGAAAAUGUAGAAAACAUUGUGCAGCAAAUCAAGUUCAGUUGUAUCUUGAUUCUAUGUUUUUGGUGUAAUCAGAUACGUCAAAUGAUCCUAUUUGUAUUCAUGAUGUUUUAGACUUGUUAUACACAUAAGAUCAUAGAUAUUGGUAGUGGACAAUGCCUGAGAACAGAGUUACCUGGCACCUGUUGCUUGUGGGAGGUGGAAGGUAUCCAAUGGAAUCAGUCGAGGUGCGCGAAAGCUUGCCCGGACACCAUGGUUAUCCAAAAAAAACAAAAAAGAAAAGGUGGUGGAGAAUAAUACCCUCUUGCAUAUGGUGGUAAGUCUGGAGGGAGAGAAAUGGAAGGUGUUUUGAAAGAUAGGGUCAGGUUAGUCCACGAUGUGAAAUAGGACUGUCUGGUAACACUUUUCUUUUUGUGUUAGCAAAACUGUAUAGAGGAUGUAGAGGAGUUAGUAGAUUUCCUAGGACCUCUCUGUAAAGCUAGAAUCUAACUUCUUCGUAACAAUUUUUUGAUGGUGGCCAGCAUUCCUAAUGCUGAAGAUUACAACAGUACUAUUUCUUUUAAAAUAAAAAAGAUAUUGGUAGUACUCUUGUAAAUAUGGUUGUGUACAACCUGGUAAUGUCCUGAUUUUAAAUAUAUAUAUGUGCAAAGUUACCAGUUUCCAAAAAAAGAGUCAUAUUUUCUCUCCCACUCGGGUUAGCAAGAAGCAAGGGAAAAGUGAAUCAAAAAUUCUAACAGAAGGUAAGAAAAUGUACAGGUAUGUGAUAUUUUCCACUAGAUCUUUUAAGUUCUGAUGUACCCCUUUUGCCACCCUGGCUCUGCCCCUGCAUCCAAACAGCUAUCAAAAGAUAAUGUGUUUCUUUUUGGAAUUGGAUGGCCAGGAUAUGGCUUUGCCUCCCCCAGUGAUUUAAAAAGCCUUUUACAACCAAUAUUACUAGGAUUUCUAUGAUGUUUAUACCUUGGUAUGUUCUUGUUAUCUUGGCAAAUGUGCUAACGUAAAUUCAACUGUCCAUUGAACACAUCAGCAAUUCCUCUUGUUAAUACAUGUAAAACGGUGAAAAUCUUGUUACAAAGAUUGUCUCCGCAUGCCCACAUGAGCUACCAGAUUCUCAUAUUGGUGGAAUGCGUACCAUUUGCCAGUUUCUGAUAUAUUGUAAUUGUAAUUGUGAAAAAGGCAAUAUUUGCUCUUAAUACACAAGCAUUGGGAGAUGUUGCGCUUAUGGAUGCACGUAAGUCCUUUAAACUUAUGAUUUUAUCUCAAACUUAUUUCUUCACACCUGCUAAGUUAAUUCACUUUUUUCUCUUUUGUUUGUUUUAUGAUCCGUUUCCGUAAAUGUCAUAAUCUGGUAGGUCACACUCCUACAUGCUAUUUAUGAAGAUGGAACUUAAGGUUGUCACUAUGAAAUUGUACCCAUUUUUAGUCUGAUCUUCUAGGCGAUGAAUUGUUUCUAUAAGUACAAGUGGUCCGGUGAGAUGCCUUAAAAGGAUUUCAUGUGGAGUUUUAUCUAAAUGCCUAAUUGGUGAAAUAUGAAAACCAAUGUGCUUGUGAGGAAAAUUAAUGUGUGAUGAAGUAAGUUAGAAGUUGAUCAUGUCUAAAUGAAAUAGGUCAGAAGUUGAUCGUGUCUAAAUGAUAGCUCUCUGUUUUAGUGAUCCGUUUGAGAUCAAUACAUCAAAUUAUCUACUUUUGUGUUUCCCUUCUGUGUGAGGUAUAUUUUCCAGAGAGUCAGAGUCUGCAACUAACAAUUGUUUCUAUUUACAUCGGACUGAUCCUUUAAUAGUUUGAUUGAGUGUUCAUUCUUUGUAUGCGCUGAGGCUUCAAUUGUCAAAGUAUCUUAAGCCUCUUUUGGUCACUUUAUUAAAGCAUCCGUACUUCUGCAUUGUGUAACUUCUGCUACUUGUUCAGAGCAAUAUAAUAGCAUUAUCACAUUUUGGUACCUAUAGAAAGAAAGUGCUUUCAUGUUGACUUGCAAUGGAGAUCAGACAGUUUUCAUGUUGACCGGUUAUAUCUGACUGUCACUUUCUUUUGUUGAUCUCCUGCUGUCCUUUGCCUGAGUCUGUCGAUGGAGUUAGUUCUCUAAAAUAUCUUGGUUGCUCAUCUUAAAUUGUUCAUUAUCAAUUUCAGUUUCGUUGGUACUUGUGUUAUAGCUAUAGCAAAGAAAGUGGCCAACCAAUUUAACCAAUUGCUGUUGUGUUGUCAAUUGCUUUAUUUCCUUUUCUCUUCCUGUGUGAUACUUACAGAUUAUAGAGUUUGGCUUGGAUGGAAAAUCUUGUUCUUCAUUAUGCUUUCCGAAUAUUUUCUUUCUUUGAAAAUGAAAGUUUGACUAGUUUGAUGAUUUGAUCUGUAGAUUUAUGAUGCAUCAACCAAACCACUUUGUACUUCUAUAUGGAUUUAAAAUUUGUACUUCUAUUCAAAUCUGAUUGAGCUCGGUGGUGACAUUGAUAGGGAUGCGGAUGAUGAUGAUGUUACAAUAUUUGAAAAUUCUAAGCUACGAAGAUCUACUCGAAAAUUCACGUCGCUGCACAUUUUCUCUUACCUUCUAUUUGGACCUUUCGGAAGCUUUAAGGAAGGGCAAGACCUUGGCAAAUUAGCUUGCGUUUGAAUUCUUCGAUUGAGAAAGUUUUCAGAGGCUCAGACACGGCCUCACCUCUAGAGUUUGAUAGUGGAUCUUGAUCCAAGGGUGAACGCUCCGUCGCUAGGCUGCCAUGGGUCAUCUUAUUGGUUCUUGUCCAUAUUUCGGGCAACGAAACAUUCAUUAUUUACUUUAUUUUGGAUAUCUCUUUAGACAUGAUCUUUGUUAGUAGUUCCUGUACGAUGACUUUUGGGUCUUGAGAAUUUUAGUAAGUAGUUUGUUUGACUUCCACAUUAUUAAUGAUUAGUCCUGGAUUAUUGUUAUUAUGUUGAUUUUAUAA